AGGUCCUAGCAAUCAAAGCCAGUGGCUCUCACAUGCCAGGGAACCCACCUAGCCUGCUAUGGGCUGCACUGUGGAGAGGGCCACAUGCCAAGGCAACGAAGCCACCAGUCUGUGAGAUUCUAAAUCCUGCCAACAGCUAUGGAAGCACUUUUAUGAAUACAUCCUCCCUGGUGGAACUUUUGGAUGAGAUUGAACCCCCAUGACACCUUUAAGCAAACACCUCCAACUUUUCCCACUUCAGAAUUUCCAACACAGAGAGGGCCAUUAACUGGAAUUUCUAUGACAACCCGAGAGCUGGUGUAAGAAUGACAGUGUUGUACAGUAUAAUGAGUCCAACUAUAUUUUACCUCUUACUCUUGGUUCCGAAGGAACGGGUGAUAAAUUUAGGGCGCCGCGCAGCACAGGCCAGGAAACAGUACACUAAUGGCCCAAAUGUCCAAUGAAUCUCUCUGUUUUACUCAGGACACUGUGUGGCCAGCUAUAGAAACCAACUCUGUCUGGAAAUAGAAACCGACUUGGAAAGGGAUU